GCUCAGAUUGAACGCUGGCGGCAGGCCUAACACAUGCAAGUCGAACGGUAACAGGAAGCAGCUUGCUUCUUUGCUGACGAGUGGCGGACGGGUGAGUAAUGUCUGGGAAACUGCCUGAUGGAGGGGGAUAACUACUGGAAACGGUAGCUAAUACCGCAUAACGUCGCAAGACCAAAGAGGGGGACCUUCGGGCCUCUUGCCAUCGGAUGUGCCCAGAUGGGAUUAGCUAGUAGGUGGGGUAACGGCUCACCUAGGCGACGAUCCCUAGCU
rnacentral:rRNA from 1 species